rnacentral:rRNA from 1 species
GACGAACGCUGGCGGCGUGCUUAACACAUGCAAGUCGAACGGAAAGGCCCUGCUUUUGUGGGGUGCUCGAGUGGCGAACGGGUGAGUAACACGUGAGUAACCUGCCCUUGACUUUGGGAUAACUUCAGGAAACUGGGGCUAAUACCGGAUAGGAGCUCCUGCUGCAUGGUGGGGGUUGGAAAGUUUCGGCGGUUGGGGAUGGACUCGCGGCUUAUCAGCUUGUUGGUGGGGUAGUGGCUUACCAAGGCUUUGACGGGUAGCCGGCCUGAGAGGGUGACCGGCCACAUUGGGACGGAGAUACGGCCCAGACUGCUACGGGAGGCAGCAGUGGGGAAUAUUGCACAAUGGGCGGAAGCCUGAUGCAGCAACGCCGCGUGCGGGAUGACGGCCUUCGGGUUGUAAACCGCUUUCGCCUGUGACGAAGCGUGAGUGACGGUAAUGGGUAAAGAAGCACCGGCUAACUACGUG